CUACGGGGGGCUGCAGUGGGGAAUAUUGCACAAUGGGGGAAACCCUGAUGCAGCAACGCCGCGUGGAGGAUGACACAUUUCGGUGCGUAAACUCCUUUUAUAGGUCAAGAUAAUGACGGUAGCCUAUGAAUAAGCGCCGGCUAACUCCGUGCCAGCAGCCGCGGUAUUACGGAGGGCGCAAGCGUUACUCGGAAUCACUGGGCGUAAAGAGCAUGUAGGCGGGUUAAUAAGUCAGAAGUGAAAUCCAAUAGCUCAACUAUUGAACUGCUUUUGAAACUGUUAACCUAGAGUGUGGGAGAGGUAGAUGGAAUUUCUGGUGUAGGGGUAAAAUCCGUAGAGAUCAGAAGGAAUACCGAUUGCGAAGGCGAUCUACUGGAACAUUACUGACGCUGAGAUGCGAAAGCGUGGGGAGCAAACAGGAUUAGAUACCCCCGUAGUC
rnacentral:rRNA from 1 species